GUUGUGAGGUUAAGCGACUAAGCGUACACGGUGGAUGCCCUGGCAGUCAGAGGCGAUGAAGGACGUGCUAAUCUGCGAUAAGCGUCGGUAAGGUGAUAUGAACCGUUAUAACCGGCGAUUUCCGAAUGGGGAAACCCAGUGUGAUUCGUCACACUAUCAUUAACUGAAUCCAUAGGUUAAUGAGGCGAACCGGGGGAACUGAAACAUCUAAGUACCCCGAGGAAAAGAAAUCAACCGAGAUUCCCCCAGUAGCGGCGAGCGAACGGGGAGCAGCCCAGAGCCUGAAUCAGUGUGUGUGUUAGUGGAAGCGUCUGGAAAGGCGUGCGAUACAGGGUGACAGCCCCGUACACAAAAAUGCACAUACUGUGAGCUCGAUGAGUAGGGCGGGACACGUGGUAUCCUGUCUGAAUAUGGGGGGACCAUCCUCCAAGGCUAAAUACUCCUGACUGACCGAUAGUGAACCAGUACCGUGAGGGAAAGGCGAAAAGAACCCCGGCGAGGGGAGUGAAAAAGAACCUGAAACCGUGUACGUACAAGCAGUGGGAGCACGCUUAGGCGUGUGACUGCGUACCUUUUGUAUAAUGGGUCAGCGACUUAUAUUCUGUAGCAAGGUUAACCGAAUAGGGGAGCCGAAGGGAAACCGAGUCUUAACUGGGCGUUAAGUUGCAGGGUAUAGACCCGAAACCCGGUGAUCUAGCCAUGGGCAGGUUGAAGGUUGGGUAACACUAACUGGAGGACCGAACCGACUAAUGUUGAAAAAUUAGCGGAUGACUUGUGGCUGGGGGUGAAAGGCCAAUCAAACCGGGAGAUAGCUGGUUCUCCCCGAAAGCUAUUUAGGUAGCGCCUCGUGAAUUCAUCUCCGGGGGUAGAGCACUGUUUCGGCAAGGGGGUCAUCCCGACUUACCAACCCGAUGCAAACUGCGAAUACCGGAGAAUGUUAUUACGGGAGACACACGGCGGGUGCUAACGUCCGUCGUGAAGAGGGAAACAACCCAGACCGCCAGCUAAGGUCCCAAAGUCAUGGUUAAGUGGGAAACGAUGUGGGAAGGCCCAGACAGCCAGGAUGUUGGCUUAGAAGCAGCCAUCAUUUAAAGAAAGCGUAAUAGCUCACUGGUCGAGUCGGCCUGCGCGGAAGAUGUAACGGGGCUAAACCAUGCACCGAAGCUGCGGCAGCGACGCUUAUGCGUUGUUGGGUAGGGGAGCGUUCUGUAAGCCUGUGAAGGUGUGCUGUGAGGUAUGCUGGAGGUAUCAGAAGUGCGAAUGCUGACAUAAGUAACGAUAAAGCGGGUGAAAAGCCCGCUCGCCGGAAGACCAAGGGUUCCUGUCCAACGUUAAUCGGGGCAGGGUGAGUCGACCCCUAAGGCGAGGCCGAAAGGCGUAGUCGAUGGGAAACAGGUUAAUAUUCCUGUACUUGGUGUUACUGCGAAGGGGGGACGGAGAAGGCUAUGUUGGCCGGGCGACGGUUGUCCCGGUUUAAGCGUGUAGGCUGGUUUUCCAGGCAAAUCCGGAAAAUCAAGGCCGAGGCGUGAUGACGAGGCACUACGGUGCUGAAGCAACAAAUGCCCUGCUUCCAGGAAAAGCCUCUAAGCAUCAGGUAACAUCAAAUCGUACCCCAAACCGACACAGGUGGUCAGGUAGAGAAUACCAAGGCGCUUGAGAGAACUCGGGUGAAGGAACUAGGCAAAAUGGUGCCGUAACUUCGGGAGAAGGCACGCUGAUACGUAGGUGAAGCGACUUGCUCGUGGAGCUGAAAUCAGUCGAAGAUACCAGCUGGCUGCAACUGUUUAUUAAAAACACAGCACUGUGCAAACACGAAAGUGGACGUAUACGGUGUGACGCCUGCCCGGUGCCGGAAGGUUAAUUGAUGGGGUUAGCGCAAGCGAAGCUCUUGAUCGAAGCCCCGGUAAACGGCGGCCGUAACUAUAACGGUCCUAAGGUAGCGAAAUUCCUUGUCGGGUAAGUUCCGACCUGCACGAAUGGCGUAAUGAUGGCCAGGCUGUCUCCACCCGAGACUCAGUGAAAUUGAACUCGCUGUGAAGAUGCAGUGUACCCGCGGCAAGACGGAAAGACCCCGUGAACCUUUACUAUAGCUUGACACUGAACAUUGAGCCUUGAUGUGUAGGAUAGGUGGGAGGCUUUGAAGUGUGGACGCCAGUCUGCAUGGAGCCGACCUUGAAAUACCACCCUUUAAUGUUUGAUGUUCUAACGUGGACCCGUGAUCCGGGUUGCGGACAGUGUCUGGUGGGUAGUUUGACUGGGGCGGUCUCCUCCUAAAGAGUAACGGAGGAGCACGAAGGUUGGCUAAUCCUGGUCGGACAUCAGGAGGUUAGUGCAAUGGCAUAAGCCAGCUUGACUGCGAGCGUGACGGCGCGAGCAGGUGCGAAAGCAGGUCAUAGUGAUCCGGUGGUUCUGAAUGGAAGGGCCAUCGCUCAACGGAUAAAAGGUACUCCGGGGAUAACAGGCUGAUACCGCCCAAGAGUUCAUAUCGACGGCGGUGUUUGGCACCUCGAUGUCGGCUCAUCACAUCCUGGGGCUGAAGUAGGUCCCAAGGGUAUGGCUGUUCGCCAUUUAAAGUGGUACGCGAGCUGGGUUUAGAACGUCGUGAGACAGUUCGGUCCCUAUCUGCCGUGGGCGCUGGAGAACUGAGGGGGGCUGCUCCUAGUACGAGAGGACCGGAGUGG
rnacentral:rRNA from 1 species